GAAAUCUCCUUUCUAUCUCCUACUCUCUGAAACUCUACCUUUUCAGGAACUGUAAUGAUGAGACCCUGAGAUUACACAUCAGGUUGGCAGUGCUGCCAGUAGAGAAGAGGAGGGAAGUAUGUCAAAGCACUCCCUGAAGCCCUGAGAAAACUGGACCCUGGCCCAUCCGAGCGGAAAAGCAAUCAGCAAUAGUUGUAGAAUCUGGUCCUUGGAGUCUUGGAGCUCUACAUUAUGGAGGAGACAGCCUUUUCAAUGAGGUCCUUUGGAAAUUCAAACAGGGAAGAGACAGAGACCCCCGUGCACUUAUAUGUGGUGUGAAGACAUCCACUAGUGAAUG
rnacentral:lncRNA from 1 species